rnacentral:sRNA from 1 species
GGGCAUCAGCUUUCGCGAUGACGCCGAUUGACGCCU